GGGGGUAUAGCUCAGUGAUAGAGCAUGUGCUUGGCAUGCACAAGGUCCUGGGUUCAAUCCCCAGUACAUCUG
rnacentral:tRNA from 1 species